rnacentral:rRNA from 1 species
GUGCCAGCCGCUGCGGUAAUACGGAGGAUCCGAGCGUUAUCCGGAUUUAUUGGGUUUAAAGGUGCGUAGGCGGCCUGUUAAGUCAGGGGUGAAAUACGGCAGCUCAACUGUCGCAGUGCCCUUGAUACUGACGGGCUUGAAUACCGGUGAAGGCGGCGGAAUGAGACAAGUAGCGGUGAAAUGCAUAGAUAUGUCUCAGAACCCCGAUUGCGAAGGCAGCUGCCUAACCGGCGAUUGACGCUGAUGCACGAAAGCGUGGGAUCGAACAGGAUUAGAUACCCUGGUAGUCCACGCCCUAAACGACUGAUGACUCGAUGUUGGCGAUAGACUGCCAGCGUCAAGCGAAAGCGUUAAGCAUCCGACCU